GUUGGACCAAAAAUUCUCAGGGAGGACAUUCACCUCUGACUGGAAUAAUACCUACUGGUUUUCAUCCAGAGAUAUAAAAGCACUUGACAAGCGUCAUUGUGGAAGAUCAUAAUGCCUCAGUAGUUAAAGGAAAAUGAGACAAGAACAAUAUAGCAGAUGCAUCUGGCAGGAUGGGGAAUAUUACAGCUACGAGGCACAUAUGCCAGAAGGAAAUUAAGAACAAUACACAUCUGUCUUGAAGACUGGCACCUUUUAGAGCCAACAUUCUAAACAAAGGAACAGCAUGUUACAAGUAGCCUCAGCAUAACUAUAAAUGUAAAGUAAAUAGCAGUUUGAUAUGUAGACACAAAAUAUGCUGAGAAAAAGGCUCUGCUUAUGUUUGUUUCAAACUAUCUCAUGCAAACUUUUCUCUAAGUUGCUAUAGCCGAGUAGUGGGCCAUUAGCUGAGGUACUGUGAUCAGUCAGGGGUCCACUUUUAUGCAGUGGAAGGGAUCAUAAAAACAUUGUAUGCAUUAUUUGUAUUUAGAGACAGGGACAUCACAUCACAGAGAAGAGAAGUGAGAUUUCUUCUCUAGCUCAUUUAAAGUCACACCUUGAUCAGCAUAUGUAUUUCUCAGAAUCUCACCAGCAGAAAGACUGGAGAAAAUUCAGAGAGAACAACACAAAGUAUUGGUGAACUGGAUGGAUGAACAUAUAAGAAAUGAUAACAAGAAAACUAUACAGCUUGGCUAACUGAUGACGAAAUAAAAGGCAUAACUGUCUGAAAGGAUGUAAAUUGUAAGGAUGUAGAGGAAUUAUUUAAGGUAGUAAAAAGGGGUAUUUAGGAGUUGGAGCUGGUUGAACAUUUCCAAAAUCUCAAGGAAAACAUGACAAAAAAUGUCCAGCAUCUUUUGACCAGCUCUAGUAGGACUGUUAGGAUGAAACUACAAAAGGGGACCAUUUAGGCUGAACUUGAGGGAAAAUGUUCUAAUGUUAGGUCCACUGUAAGACUAAAGAGCAGUAAUACAAAGUAAGUGGCAGAACCCUCAUUGCUUCAGGCAUCGAAAACUAGACUAAAUGAAGAAUUGGAAAGUAUAGUAAGAGGAAUGAUGGGGGAACAACAAGAUGAACUGAUAGGUCUUUAUUGUGUUCUAUAUCCAUAUUCCAUGAAUGAAUUGAAUGAUUCUCUGAAUGAGUUUAUUUAUACACUAUGGACAUCUGUUCCUUUAAAUGCAUUA